AGUGAACGCUGGCGGUAGGCCUAACACAUGCAAGUCGAACGGCAGCACAGUAAGAGCUUGCUCUUACGGGUGGCGAGUGGCGGACGGGUGAGGAAUACAUCGGAAUCUACUUUUUCGUGGGGGAUAACGUAGGGAAACUUACGCUAAUACCGCAUACGACCUACGGGUGAAAGCAGGGGAUCUUCGGACCUUGCGCGAUUGAAUGAGCCGGUGUCGGAUUAGCUAGUUGGGGGGGUAAAGGCCCACCAAGGCGACGAUCCGUAGCGGGUCUGAGAGGAUGAUCAGCCACACUGGAACUGAGACACGGUCCAGACUCCUACGGGAGGCAGCAGUGGGGAAUAUUGGACAAUGGGCGCAAGCCUGAUCCAGCAAUACCGCGUGGGUGAAGAAGGCCUUCGGGUUGUAAAGCCCUGUUGUUGGGAAAGAAAAGCAGCAGGUUAAUACCCCGCUGUUCUGACGGUACCCAAAGAAUAAGCACCGGCUAACUUCGUG
rnacentral:rRNA from 1 species